rfam:Cricetulus griseus cell line CHO-K1, whole genome shotgun sequence.
GGAGACAUGACUCAGAGGUUAAGAGUACUGGCUGGUCUUCAAGAGGUCCUGAGUUCAAUUCCCAGCAACUCCA